rnacentral:lncRNA from 1 species
UCAUUUGAACUUCAUGGAAUUUUUAACUUUCCCUCAACCUAUCCAGAGUCUUGGAGAUUAAUUGUGUGUGCAUAUGGUGUUUGACAGCAAUUAUUCUGAAAAUUGCAGUAGGUGUUAUUUCAAUAGAGCUUCUUUGCAUCUGCAGCCACCUGGGAGGAGCUGUAGGUAUCUUGAUAUCUUCCUCGAGUUCCUCAUGGAAGUUUGGCAUAAUAGUGCUAUCGGGGUCCGCAUAGAUGUUUCGCCUGCCUAAUCCAGGGGUUGUGCGUAAAUAGUGUUUGAUUAUUUAAAACCAUGUGUUGUGCGUAAAUAAUUUGUUGUUAAUUGGUGUAUUCACCAAGAUUUGGCUGUAUCUGCGUACUGUACAUCAGAAUUCUCACUAAUGGAAGCUUAAGUGCUUAACCAAUUUGUACCUGGACUGGGGCUUGAUAUGAUGAAUUAUGUAUGACCCCCAUCCUCUAUAUUUGCUGAAGUGGGUCUCAGCUAUAACCAACCUUAACCCACCGGGCUGACUCUGUGGGUCUACUCUAAAGUUGGCGACGCAGCUACUAGCCUCAGUUUUAAUGCGAAUUUGCCUAUUUGCCAUGGUUGGUUCUUCGCUGGGUAGGUAGGCCAGUUGAUUGGAAUUUUCCUCACGUGACAAAAGCAUGGAACGUUGGUUGAAACUUACCACCAAAACGUUCAAAAACUUUGUUUUCAUAUCACGUCAUUGGAGACCCCUUCGGCUUAACUGUACCUAAAUCCAUCCAUGUCCUUAUCUAUUCAUCAAUAAUGUUCAUACUGGCCGUGACUUGCAAUCUUUUUUAAUGUGAUUAACAAUUUUUUAAAUACUUUAAUAGUAAUCCCACAGAAAUGUAAAGUGAAUAAAAGAAGCAUCCGAACAGCUGCAGCAGCAAUCAGCGAUCGAGUUAGCGCCACAGCACACUUUUUUUCUAACUUCAUCUGGUUUUCCCGGCAAAACAAGCAACUGCUUUACUGCUGCGCCACCAGAUCCCAACACUAAAUAAGGCUCUAUAUAUACAAGCCCAUAAGUUCUUCUUCAUGGAUUCUACUGGAAAAAGGUCACUCACUCACUCACUUCUCUCUAAUUUUAAUUUCGUUCACGUUAAUAUAUUAAUAUCGGAACAUACCUUCAGCCUUCAGGGAUAUUCAAAUAUAACUUUGUAAGUUUGAUAUGGGUGUUUCCCGCAAUUGGGUCACGUUUUUGCGUGGAUUGUUUCUCCUCCUCCUUAUCUGUCGUAGCUCUGGAGCUGAAGUUAUUACAGUUGAUGUUCGAGCUGCUAAGAAUCUGCUUGAAUCUGGCUACGGCUAUCUUGAUGUGAGGUACGCAGUUUCAAUUCAACUACUGGCUUUCUAUUUCCUAAUUCUGAUACUUGUAAUUUCUUUUAUUUUUUAAUCUUUAUUUCGUAACUUUGGGCUUGUCUUAAAAUACUAGGACGGCAGAAGAAUUCGAGGAAGGUCAUGUGGAUGCAGCAAAAAUCUUCAACAUUCCUUACAUGUUCAACACUCCAGAAGGUAUAUAACGAUUAUUUUAUUUUAUUUUUUUUAAAAUUCAACUUCUAAUAACCAUGAGCCAUUUCCUUUUUAAUACUUCAGUUAUGAAAAAAUAAUUUGGUUUUUCCUUAUAGGUAGAGUAAAAAAUCCAGAUUUCUUGAAGAAGGUUAGAUCUCUUUGCAAGGAGGAGGAUCGUCUUGUAGUGGUAAUUAAUUGAUCAUGUUCAUAAAUCAGUUGUCGAAAAAUUGGUGUUUGACAGCAAUUAUUCUGAAAAUUGCAGUAGGUGUUAUUUCAAUAGAGCUUCUUUGCAUCUGCAGCCACCUGGGAGGAGCUGUAGGUAUCUUGAUAUCUUCCUCGAGUUCCUCAUGGAAGUUUGGCAUAAUAGUGCUAUCGGGGUCCGCAUAGAUGUUUCGCCUGCCUAAUCCAGGGGUUGUGCGUAAAUAGUGUUUGAUUAUUUAAAACCAUGUGUUGUGCGUAAAUAAUUUGUUGUUAAUUGGUGUAUUCACCAAGAUUUGGCUGUAUCUGCGUACUGUACAUCAGAAUUCUCACUAAUGGAAGCUUAAGUGCUUAACCAAUUUGUACCUGGACUGGGGCUUGAUAUGAUGAAUUAUGUAUGACCCCCAUCCUCUAUAUUUGCUGAAGUGGGUCUCAGCUAUAACCAACCUUAACCCACCGGGCUGACUCUGUGGGUCUACUCUAAAGUUGGCGACGCAGCUACUAGCCUCAGUUUUAAUGCGAAUUUGCCUAUUUGCCAUGGUUGGUUCUUCGCUGGGUAGGUAGGCCAGUUGAUUGGAAUUUUCCUCACGUGACAAAAGCAUGGAACGUUGGUUGAAACUUACCACCAAAACGUUCAAAAACUUUGUUUUCAUAUCACGUCAUUGGAGACCCCUUCGGCUUAACUGUACCUAAAUCCAUCCAUGUCCUUAUCUAUUCAUCAAUAAUGUUCAUACUGGCCGUGACUUGCAAUCUUUUUUAAUGUGAUUAACAAUUUUUUAAAUACUUUAAUAGUAAUCCCACAGAAAUGUAAAGUGAAUAAAAGAAGCAUCCGAACAGCUGCAGCAGCAAUCAGCGAUCGAGUUAGCGCCACAGCACACUUUUUUUCUAACUUCAUCUGGUUUUCCCGGCAAAACAAGCAACUGCUUUACUGCUGCGCCACCAGAUCCCAACACUAAAUAAGGCUCUAUAUAUACAAGCCCAUAAGUUCUUCUUCAUGGAUUCUACUGGAAAAAGGUCACUCACUCACUCACUUCUCUCUAAUUUUAAUUUCGUUCACGUUAAUAUAUUAAUAUCGGAACAUACCUUCAGCCUUCAGGGAUAUUCAAAUAUAACUUUGUAAGUUUGAUAUGGGUGUUUCCCGCAAUUGGGUCACGUUUUUGCGUGGAUUGUUUCUCCUCCUCCUUAUCUGUCGUAGCUCUGGAGCUGAAGUUAUUACAGUUGAUGUUCGAGCUGCUAAGAAUCUGCUUGAAUCUGGCUACGGCUAUCUUGAUGUGAGG